rnacentral:rRNA from 1 species
AUGAAGAACUUGAGAGUCUGCCGUGACUGCCAUUUAGCUAUGAAAUUGAUAUCGAAGAGUGAAAACAGAGAAAUAAUCUUGAGAGAUGCAAUUCGCUUCCACCACUUCAGAGAUGGCUCAUGUUUUUGUGCCGACUACUCGUAG